AGCCACAGCUAUAUCACCAUGCAGCCCAAGACCAGUUACCCACUGAAGCUAAGCAAGGCUCAGCUUCGUUAGUACCUAGAUGAGAGCCCGCAUGGAAAAACUAGGUUGCUUUUGAAG
rnacentral:rRNA from 1 species